CCAAUAAACACCUCCACUGAUGACACCUGUGGAUUUCUCUACCACUGUUACAGUACAGGCUUAUUCACUUAAUCCAGUUAUGUCUUGAACAAGAUAUUUGACAUGCCAAAAGCAAACAGUUGAAGAAAGGUUUUAUUGUACUACUUACAGCAUGUGUUCCAAUAUUGUAAUAGUUUGUUAUUCAUUACUUAAUGGCCCCUAUACCAAUAGACAUGGAUAUAAAUUACAAAAGGUAUUACCAAAAAGCAAUAAUGUCCAAAAUGAAAAAUACUUACAUUCACUGUGCCAGAUUAGACUUUGAUAUCUUUCAGAACGCUGAGACAUUUGUUGCAUACCCCUGUCGUUUUCUGCUCUUUUAUCAAGAGUGGAAGGAAGGAAUCACAUCACUAACAACACAUACCACCCACCUGAGUGGUACAACACUGCCUAGUGAGGUUUGGCCCAUGGCCCAUGCCCCAGCCUAUGGCAGCAGGCCACCAGUCUGAAGAAUGAAAAAAAGAGGGAAGGAAAAGACACAAAGGCAUUACAAUACAUGCUGGGUUACCAUGGUAAAACACAAGCAGAGGAACAUAAAAGAGAAUUGGCGUCAUCCCAGCUCUGUAAGCUUUGGAACCAAAUAGUUGAGAAUGAGAAAGAGCCUGGACACACACAUAUACACAAAAUACACAGACACUAACACACACGUAGGCAGCCUACUCAUUUACAUUCUCUAAUUUGCAAACACACACCCACAAUUAAAAACCUCCCAGCUAGCGAUGUAGUUCAAAGUUCCCUCUGUUGGAAAGGGGAGGCUUUUUAAAGACCUGCGGGGGCAGGGCUACCGCGUGGACGGCACUGUCAAUUUGCCUUUUAUAGCUGCCCCGCACAGCUAGUUGGAGAGAGAGAGAGAUAGAGUGAGUUUAUUUCACUUUUGUUUAUUAUCUAUUUCACUUGCUUUGGCAAUGUAAACACAUGUUUCCCAUGCCAAUAAAGCCCCUUGAAUUGAAUUGAAUGGAGAGAGAGAGAGAGAGAGAGUAAAGGGCAGAUGCAGAGGGAGGAAAAGAAGGAUGCUGGUGCCUAAUGGACUCGUCUUCUCACACAACACACACACUGGCCACGCUAACCACGGCCAUGUGCAGGAAAGGGACAUGAGGUUGCCCAAGCUUUGUUAUUUCAACAAUGCUUUGUCAUUAGCUGGAGGUGUAUGUGUGUGUGUUUMUGAAAGAGAGUUUAAGAUGGCAUGGAAGUGGUUUUCUUUAUCCCCUUUGUGUGUGUAUGAAAUGCCUUUUACUGCGAGUGAGAAUAAUAGCUUUCCAGAUACGUUGUUCUCUGUGUGUCAGUGUGCAACGUGACAUUCAGGUCGAGUGUGGUAUUAGAGAGAGAAUGAGAGGGGGGGGGGGGUGAGAGAGGGGAGGAUAGGGGUUAGUGGUUCAGGCAAGCUAUUGUAAUGAUGCCAGUUAGAAAUUGUGUACACAGUCGCUUGUGAAGGUGCUGCCAGCUCUUGAGUCUGAAUGUGAGAGAGAGAGGCUUUGUUACAUAUUUUGUCCCUGUGAUUCUGUGUUAUAAAGGGACAAAAAGUGAGAUACUCAUGUGUCCAAUAUUCACAGAGAGAAGAGAGAGUGAGAGUGGUGGUAGAGAGAGAGAGUGAAUGUGUGUGUGUGUGUGUGUGUGGUUGUGUGUGGUGUGUGUGUGUGUGUGGUGUUUGUGUGUGUGUGUGGAGGGUGGUUCACGCCAGUAUUUCUUCCCUGCAAUUCUGUGUGAGCAUUCAAGAUUGAGAGAGAAAAAGUGAGGGAGAGAGUAUGUGUGUGUGUUUCUGUGUGAGAGCAUGAGUGAGAGACAGCAAGAGAAAAAGAGAGAGUGAGGGAGAGAGAGAGAGAAAGAGCGAGAGCGCUUUAGCCUGGCAUUUCUUCCCUGUGCCUUUCAGCUCCUCUCCCCCUGAAGAAGGAGGCGUGUCCAUUGGCCAGCAGUAUAAAUUCCAAGAGGAACCACUCGUGUAGAGCCAUUCUCAGGAGCAACCCAUUGCCCUGCACCCCAUAUGGAAGACGAAAUUGCUACUCGACUUGAAAAACUUGAUGCCCCUUCCCCUACACCUGGACAUUGGCAAACCACAGACUUUUCUCUUUGCACUAUAAGAGGCUUCAUGGGCUCUGUGUGAAUUCUACUUGAAGGGACAAAGACUCACCUAAAUAGACCAGUGGACAUUUGUUCUACUUCCCAACAAAUAACCACUUUGUGCGACUCAAAGACGUAAAGACUUUCGUCGCAUGGGAGAGCAAGGACUAGAUAUUUAGCAUUCUUUGAUCUACCUGCAUUCUUUUUCUAACCUCCCAAACAUCCUAUAGGGCUAGGAAAUCGAGCCUAAGAAACGGCGAGGUAAAACAGCGGGGACAUUGUGUUCCAACUCCUGCCAAAACCCCUGCCAUCCGAAACACCAAGCAGCAGGCAACAUCAAAGACCAAACCCUCCAACCGCCUCCCUCCUCCUUACCCUCCAAAACUAAAGCAGAGACCAAACAGUUGUGGGUGAGAGAGCAGAGAAACAGAAGGAAUACUAACAAACGAACUGCGGGAAAGUGCAAGAGAAAUCGAGGGCAAAGAUUUGAG
rnacentral:lncRNA from 1 species